rnacentral:rRNA from 1 species
ACUUGUGUAGGAUAGGUGGGAGGCUUUGAAGCAGAGACGCCAGUCUCUGUGGAGCUGUCCUUGAAAUACCACCCUGGUGACUUUGAGGUUCUAACCCAGACCCGUUAUCCGGGUCGGGGACCGUGCAUGGUAGGCAGUUUGACUGGGGCGGUCUCCUCCCAAAGAGUAACGGAGGAGUUCGAAGGUUACCUAGGUCCGGUCGGAAAUCGGACUGAUAGUGCAAUGGCAAAAGGUAGCUUAACUGCGAGACCGACAAGUCGAGCAGGUGCGAAAGCAGGACAUAGUGAUCCGGUGGUUCUGAAUGGAAGGGCCAUCGCUCAACGGAUAAAAGGUACUCCGGGGAUAACAGGCUGAUUCCGCCCAAGAGUCCAUAUCGACGGCGGAGUUUGGCACCUCGAUGUCGGCUCAUCACAUCCUGGGGCUGUAGUCGGUCCCAAGGGUAUGGCUGUUCGCCAUUUAAAGU